UCUUCUUCUUCUUCGUUCUCCCUCUCUCUCUCUCUCUCUCUAACCCUCUCUCUCUCUCUCUUGGGGAUCUUUGGGCGCGAUCGGCACGAAUUUUGAAGCGGGGAUCUGCGGCUCCGGAGCAGCAGGAGCCGAAUCGGGGGAGCGGAGAGGAGGAGCUCGCUCGGCGCCGGGGAGGUGAGCGGCGGCGGAGGAGGCGGCGACGGCGGAGGUGAGGGUUAGAGUUUGGUGUGGUAGGACGAGGAGGAGGAAGGAGGGGUGAGGAGGAGGAGGAGGAGGAAGAAGAAGAAGCGGGGUUUGAGUCGAGGGCUUCGAGCUUUUGGCUUUUGGAUUCGGGGGGUGGGCUUUGUGUGGUGAGGGUUUGGGGCUGCUGCUGCUGCCUCUUCUUCUUCUUCGUCUCGUUCGAUCGCGUUUGAUGGGCCGAUGAUGAAGAGGGAGCGCGAGGAGGCGUUCAUGGGCUCUCAGCUGAAGCGCCCUAACCUAUCUCGUCCGGAUCCGUCGGGGCAACAACCCCUCAUGGCGGCGGCGCCGGGUUCCGGCGGAGCGCAGAAGCUCACCACCAACGAUGCCCUCGCUUAUCUCAAAUCCGUCAAGGAUAUGUUCCAAGACAAGAGGGAGAAGUACGACGAGUUCCUCGAGAUCAUGAAGGAUUUCAAGAGCCAAAGGAUUGACACUAAUGGGGUCAUCAUGAGAGUCAAAGAGCUGUUCAAUGGGCACCGGGAACUUAUCCUCGGGUUCAACAACUUCUUGCCGAAAGGCUACGAGAUCAAGUUCCCGGAGGAGAAGAAGCCGGUGGAAUUCGAGGAGGCCAUCAAUUUCGUGAACAAGAUAAAGAAUCGUUUCCAGAACGAUGAUCAUGUUUACAAGUCGUUCUUAGAUGUCCUUUAUAUGUACCGGAAGGAUAACAAGUCCAUCCAUGAAGUUUACCAAGAGGUUGCAACACUGUUUCAGCAUCAUCAUGAUUUGCUUGAGGAAUUUACACACUUUUUACCUGAUGCCUCAGCAACAAUGGCUCCGCAACAUGUAUCCUCUGGUAGAGGAUUAAUUCGUCGUGAUGAUAGGAACUCUGUGAUGCCUUUGAUUAGGCAUGCUCAAGGGGAUAAGAGGGACAGAACUUAUAAUCAACAUGCAGAUCGUGAUCCUAGUGUCGAUCGGCCCGAUCCGGAGCAUGAUCGCCAGAGAAGGCGUGUUGAGAAGGAAAAGGAUAGGAAGGAGGAAAGGGAGAGAAGAGAUCGAGACCGUGAUGAAAAGGACUUAGAGCAUGACGGCAGAGAUUUAGAUGGUGGGCAACGUAGACGUAAUAAACCUUCUUCUAGAAGGAUUGAGGACUCUCUUACUGAGCAGACGCACCAACAAGCUGGGGAAGGUGCUGAGAACUUUGGAAUGUAUAGCAUCUCCGCUUCAUCAUUUGAUGAUAAGAAUGCCUUGAAGAGUGUAUACACCCAAGAGUUUAACUUUUGUGAGAAAGUGAAGGAGAAGUUACACCCUGAUACAUACCAGGAAUUUUUGAAAUGCCUUCACAUAUACAGUCAAGAAAUAAUUACCCGAAAUGAAUUGAAAAACUUGAUAAGUGAUAUUCUUGAGAAGUAUCCAGAUCUUAUGGAGGGUUUCAACGAAUUUUUAGCUCAUUGUGAAAACAUAGAUGGAUUUCUUGCUGGAGUAUUCAAUAAGAAAAAUAUUGCUAAACCACUUAAGCCGGAGGAUAGAGAAAGAGACAAGGAACGUGAAAGGGAUGAGAGGGAGAAAGAUCGUGAGAAAGAGAGAGAGAAAGAAAGAGAAAAGGUCGAUAAAGGUGCUCCGCAACAUUCUAAAGAUGGGGCCUCUCACAGAACUCCUUUGUUCGCCGGCAAAGAGAAAUAUAAUUUAUUCAAGCCAAUUUCAGAGCUUGACUUCUCAAACUGUCAGCGUUGUACCCCUAGUUACCGCCUCUUACCCAAAAAUUAUUCUAUGCCUCCUGCGAGCCAUCGGACCGAUCUUGGAGCCUCUGUACUGAAUGAUAUUUGGGUGUCAGUGACUUCUGGAAGUGAGGAUUUUUCAUUCAAGCAUAUGCGUAAGAACCAAUAUGAAGAAAGCUUAUUUAGAUGUGAAGACGAUAGGUUUGAGCUAGAUAUGUUAUUGGAGUCUGUGAAUGUGACUACAAAGCGUGUGGAGGAAUUGAUAGAAAAGAUGCAUGACAAUUCAGCCAAGCCUGAGAGCCCAAUACGUGUCGAAGACCACUUCAAUUCCUUGAAUAUAAGGUGCAUUGAACGAUUAUAUGGUGACCAUGGCCUGGACGUUAUGGAUAUUCUGCGAAAAAAUUCUGCUGUUGCAUUGCCCGUCAUAUUAACUCGGCUGAAGCAAAAGCAGGAGGAAUGGUCGAAAUGUCGUUCAGAUUUUAAUAAAGUUUGGGCUGAAAUAUAUGCCAAGAAUUAUCAUAAAUCGCUUGACCACCGCAGUUUCUAUUUCAAGCAACAGGAUGCAAAGAACCUGAGCACAAAAGCUUUAUUGGCUGAGAUCAAAGAAAUUAAUGAGAAGAAGCGAAAGGAGGAUGAUGUGCUUCUCGCCAUUGCAGCUGGAAAUCGGCGGCCGUUACUUCCCAACAUGGAAUUCGAGUAUCCGGAUUCUGAAAUUCACGAAGAUUUGUAUCAGAUUAUUAAAUACUCAUGUGGAGAAGUAUGCACUUCCUCAGACCAAUUAGAAAAAGUCAUGAAGGUAUGGACAACAUUUUUGGAGCCAAUAUUGGGUGUUCCACCUCGACACCACGGUGUGGAGGAUACAGAAGAUAAGACGAAACCGAAAAGCCACUCUUCAAAAACUGGUGUAUCAAAUGGUGGUGUUGCCGACAAGAAAAGCAACGGUGAUGAAAGUAGGGUGGUAAGCGGUGAUGCAGCAGCUGUUGAGAAUGGUUUCCACAAUGUUGAUCGAGUGGGUAGUAGAGGUGAUAAUGCGGGUAAUAGUGGACCCCAUUCAAGAGUGCAUGGUAUUACCCCUACAUGUGAUGAAAUGUCUGGAAUAACCAUGCAAACCGCUACUAUUGAACGAGUAAUGGAUAAUAAUGUCUCUCCUGCGGGGAGAGCCGAGCAGAGUCAUAAACGGACUAACCUGGAAAGUACAUCUGGUGCUAAUGUGCCUCCUAAAACGUGUCACACUGGAGGGGAAACGGCUACCAAAUCUCGAUUGGGCAGUGAAAAUUUACCACCUGUUGAGGAAAAUGAAAGCAGCAAAGUUCUCCGUCCUAACGAAGGUUCGACAUCUAAUAACAACAAUGCUAAGGUCGAAAGGGAAGAGGGUGAGCUAUCUCCUAACGGCGAUUUUGAAGAGGACAAUUUUGUAGCAUUUGAAGACGGAACCGCAGUGGACGCGGGCACUAAAACAAAAGACAAUUGUGGCGAGGUAGCAGGAGAGAAUGAUGCCAUGGAUGCCGAUGAUGAGGGAGAUGAUUUUGCGCAAAGAUCAAUUGAUGACAGUGAAAAUGCAUCUGAGGCCGGUGGGGAGGAUGCUUCAGGCAGCGAGAAUGCAUCCGAUGGUGAGGAGUGUUCGCGUGAAGAGGAGGAAGAAGACGGAGAUCAUGAUCACAAGGUUGAGAGCGAGGGUGAAGCCGAAGGGACAGCUGAUGCGCAUGAUGCCGAGGGUGAAAUCACAUCCUUUCCAUUUUCAGAAAGGUUCUUGCAUAUGGUGAAGCCACUGGCAAAGCAUGUGCCCGAGGCAUUACGUGAUAAAGAGGACAAAGGUUCAAGGAUAUUUUACGGGAAUGAUUCGUUUUAUGUUUUGUUCAGGCUACAUCAGACUUUGUAUGAGAGGAUACUUUCAGCGAAGACAAACACAUCAGCUUCUGAAAACAAAUGGAAAAAUUCCAAGGAUGCAAACCCUUCCGACCUUUAUGCAAAAUUCAUGAGUGCGUUGUACAGCUUGAUUGAUGGCUCCUCUGACAAUACAAAGUUUGAGGAUGAUUGCCGUGCCAUCAUUGGGACUCAGUCCUAUGUGCUUUUCACAUUAGACAAGCUGAUAUACAAAGUCGUUAAGCAGCUUCAAGCGAUAGUAUCAGAUGAGAUGGACAAUAAGCUCCUCCAGCUCUAUUUAUAUGAAAAGUCGAGGCGACCUGGGCGAUUUAUUGAUCUAGUUUAUCAUGAGAAUGCUCGCGUCCUUCUCCACGAUGAGAGCAUUUACCGAUUUGAAUGUUGUCCAAAUCCGACAAUGUUAUCUAUCCAACUCAUGGAAUAUGGGCACGAGAAGCCGGAAGUGACUGCUAUUUCUAUCGAUCCUAACUUUUCGGCUUACCUAUAUAAUGAUUUUCUGUCGAGUGCCUCAGAGAGGAAGAGACUAGACGUCUUCCUUGGAAGGAAUAAGCGGAAACAGGGGAGUGAUGAUGACUAUUCUACUACUUGCAAGGCCAUGGAUGGGAUUCGAGUUAUCAAUGGCCUUGAAUGCAAGAUAUCUUGCAAUUCGUCUAAGGUGUCCUACGUGCUUGACACAGAAGACGUUUUGUUCCGAGUGCGAAAGAAAAGGAGAUCUCCGAGUAACGGCACUGUAGUAACUUCUCACAAUCAGGCGCACCUUUCGAAAGUAUACACUGUAAAAGUACAGCGAUUUCAUCGCUUCCUCUCCCGAUCCCAGUAAUCAUUUAGCCCCUCGAAAAACAGCGUUUUAAACCCUGUUUCAAGUGAGGAGGUUGGUUACCGAGAGGACGCACAAAAUGCAGUGUGGUCUGUAUCUAAUCCACCACGCAGCCAGCGCCGGUACCGAGGGUUUCAACGAGCUUCUACUCAAAGAGAAGCUUCGCGCACGCCCAAACCACCUUAUUCGGAAGCGCUUCUCCAUUGCGAAACUCCUUUCGGGACAACGGCUGCGGCAUAUCUCGUGGUACAUAUAUGAAAAAGGUUAUUGUACCGUCUCUCUCUCUCUCUCUUGCGGUGGUUUUCGCGCCACAUAUGUGUUUGUAUAUAUAUGUUAUUAAGGCGAAAAGAGGAAAAAUUUGUUUUUUUGAUUCAAAAAGACUCUACGCUUUCCGCGAGCCGGUUAGCUUCUCCCUCUUCUAAAUUUGAUCUCAGUGUUUGUAUCCUUUUUUCCUCCCCUUUUUUUUUUUUUUUGUUAACUUCAUUUGAUACAUGAAGCAUGCAAUUUAUCCCCUACUUUGAAGCUGAGCCUUUUUUAGUUAGCCCCAUGUAAUAGGUCCUUGUUGAAUUUUAUUAUAGUUUUUUUUUUUUUUUUUCAACUUUUUGGAAAGUUCCAUUGAUGAUUUGUAGUGCGUGAUAUGUUCAUGCAUAAAUAUUCAGUUGUUAUGCUUGGUUGACUUUUAACUACUGUUACAACUUGGGCUAAGUUACACUUUUGAUCCUCAA